rnacentral:rRNA from 1 species
GACGAACGCUGGCGGCGUGCCUAAUACAUGCAAGUAGAACGCUGAAGGAGGAGCUUGCUUCUCUGGAUGAGUUGCGAACGGGUGAGUAACGCGUAGGUAACCUACCUGGUAGCGGGGGAUAACUAUUGGAAACGAUAGCUAAUACCGCAUAAUAGUAGAUGUCGCAUGACAUUUGCUUAAAAGGUGCAAUUGCAUCACUACCAGAUGGACCUGCGUUGUAUUAGCUAGUUGGUGAGGUAACGGCUCACCAAGGCAACGAUACAUAGCCGACCUGAGAGGGUGAUCGGCCACACUGGGACUGAGACACGGCCCAGACUCCUACGGGAGGCAGCAGUAGGGAAUCUUCGGCAAUGGACGGAAGUCUGACCGAGCAACGCCGCGUGAGUGAAGAAGGUUUUCGGAUCGUAAAGCUCUGUUGUAAGAGAAGAACGAGUGUGAGAGUGGAAAGUUCACACUGUGACGGUAUCUUACCAGAAAGGGACGGCUAACUACGUG